GUGUUUACCUGUAUAAAGGGAAGCCGGUUUUUCUUGUUGGAUCAUUCCUCCCGAGCUUCUGGUGCGACACAGCAGUAAAUGCUGGCCUAUCGGUUAAUUUUACGAUCGGAUCGUGUGACUGCUACAGCGCGGCUGUUUUUCUUUCCUUUGCUCCAGCCGUGGUGAGGAGACGCGUGAGUGCAUCCGCCGUGCAGUACAGCGCCUCCAAGUUCUGGGGGUUUGAUUGCUGCCGUGCCCUCUCGGGGACCAACCGCCUGCUUUGGUUACGUAGAGAGUCGGGCGCCUGCUCUUCUGCUGUCUUGUCUUGCCUUGUUUUAUCUUGUGUUCCGAUCUGUUGGCUGUCCAAUUUUGUUCCUGCUGCUUGUCUCGCCUCGCCCCUGGGGGUUUUGGGUUUCACG